AGCUUAUCUAGAGAGGUGAAGGGAACAGGCCCUAUGAUACCUCAGCAACCACACUUAAGUGAAAGGUGCUAAUUCCUGCAGGACCUAAGGUUCUGGAAGAUAAGGG
rnacentral:ncRNA from 2 species